rnacentral:rRNA from 1 species
GCUCAACAGCUAGCCCAUCUUAAUAAAAACAACCUACCAACAUAGAUAAACCCUAACGCACUACAAAUUAUUAAACAAACCAUUUUCCCACCUCAGUAUAGGAGAUAGAAAAGGACACAAGAGCAAUAGAAAAAGUACCGCAAGGGAACGCUGAAAGAGAAAUGAAACAACCCAGUAAAGCAUAAAAAAGCAGAGAUUUAAACUCGU